CACACGAAACCAGCAGCACCAGCUGGCCCCGUCCCCAUCAACAGGAAGUCAUACCAUCCACGGCUGGGACUGGCUAGAGCACAUAAAGCUGCAAGUGAAAUUCCAGAUGCUCAGAAGUACUACAAUGAGGUCAUCACUAUGUCCCUUGAGGUUCAUGAUGCUUACAUUGAACUAGUAGACAUGUUGGUGAAAACAGAUCCAUUAGCUGCUGUAGAUGUUUACUGUAAAGUCCUCAUCUCAGACAAACCAUCAUUUGAUGAUGCGUAUAUAUUUGGUGACAUUGUGAGACUACUGAUAAAGGCAGAGAAGUUUGAUGAUCCAAGGCUAGGGCCUAAUAUGAUUACAUAUUGAAAAAUACUUGGUUUAGGAGCUUUGGAGAAGUAUGUGAAGAUACUGGAAGAUAAAUACAAGAAUGAGACUUUAAAACAAGUGUAUGCUGGAGUCAAUGGUAGAGAUAUAGACAUGUGAAUGGUUUCUUACGACAUUUGAAUGUUUUCUUAACUUAAAGUGUCAGAUCUAAUGUUUACUUAUAAUUCAAAUGUUAGACCUUCACGUGGAAGCUUUAGUUUAGUUCAGUUAUCAGACUACAAUGCAAAUCCUUUCACAAGUAUGGAGUAUGGAGAUGAUGUGUACAUACGAGUACUGCAUUUCUGAAAGUUUUCUUUGAAUUCAAAUGCUCGAUGCCUUGAAAAUUAAGUAAUGUCUUGAGAGAUAUGUGGUAAAAAAACUUCAGUCAUGAGCAAAUUUAGGUCUGUGCAAACAACUGUCAUUUACAUAAUAGUUGUUCUUUAUGUUAAAUAUGUUUAGGUAAUUUCUAUUCUGGUCUUUAAAAACAUGAAGAAUUUUCAUGGACUUAAAAGGAGUGAGAAAUAACAUUUCUGACAUCGAAAUUACUUAUUUUUACCAGUAAAUCUACAGGGUAAUUCUCAACAAAUGGUUUACUGGAAGAAAUAUUUCACAUACAUUUACAAAACUAACCAGUCACAAAAUAGUGAGAAUUUUUAAAAAAAAAUAGUACUGUCUAACAGUAUUUCUUUGUUUUGGUGUUCAUGUGGUAUUGGUUAGCUUUGCCUUGUUUUGGUUUACAAAACUGCAGCUAAAAUAAUUUUUAAAUUUUUAAUUACAAAAGGCAGCACAGUUACUGACUGUGAUAAUUUUCUUUGUUGUGAUAUGUAGAUAUUUUGUGAUACUAUGUAUGUUUAGUUUGAUUUUUUUAUUAUACUGAUACUUGAGCUAUUAUGCAGUAUGAAUCCCAGUCAAAUAUGGUUAUAAAAUAAAUUUUACAGAAAGUA